UACGGGGGGGGCAAGCGUUGUUCGGAAUUACUGGGCGUAAAGGGCUCGUAGGCGGCCAACUAAGUCAGACGUGAAAUCCCUCAGCUUAACUGGGGAACUGCGUCUGAUACUGGAUGGCUUGGAUUCGGGAGAGGAAUGCGGAAUUCCCGGUGUAGCGGUGAAAUGCGUAGAGAUCGGGAGGAACACCAGAGGCGAAGGCGGCGACCUGGACAAGUACUGACACUCAACUACGAAAGCGUGGGGAGCAAACAGG
rnacentral:rRNA from 1 species